rnacentral:rRNA from 1 species
ACGAAGACUUUAGAUAUGAUCCAGAGUACCACGGGACACGUGAAACCCUGUGGGAAGCAGGAGGGACCACCCUCCAAGGCUAAAUACUACCUAGUGACCGAUAGCGUAUAGUACCGUGAGGGAAAGGUGAAAAGAACCCCGGGAGGGGAGUGAAAUAGAACCUGAAACCCUGCACUUACAAGCUGUGGAAGCACAUUUCUUGUGUGACCGCGUACUUUUUGUAGAACGGGCCAACGAGUUACGUUAAGUAGCAAGGUUAAGCACUUAAGGUGCGGAGCCGUAGCGAAAGCGAGUUUUAACUGAGCGUUCAGUUACUUGACGUAGACCCGAAACCGGGCGACCUACCCAUGAGCAGGAUGAAGCGAAAGUAAAAUUUCGUGGAGGUCCGAACCCACGAGCGUUGAAAAGCUCGGGGAUGACUUGUGGGUAGCGGUGAAAUUCCAAUCGAGCCCGGAGAUAGCUGGUUCUCCCCGAAAUAGCUUUAGGGCUAGCCUCAAGGUGAGAGAUACGGAGGUAGAGCACUGAAUGUCCUAGGGGGUAUUGCACCUACCGAAGACUAUCAAACUCCGAAUGCCGUCAUCUUAUACUUGGGAGUCAGACUGUGGGUGAUAAGAUUCAUAGUCGAAAGGGCAACAGCCCAGAUCGUCAGCUAAGGUCCCUAAAUGUAAGUUAAGUGGUAAAGGAUGUGGGAUUGCACAGACAACCAGGAUGUUGGCUUAGAAGCAGCCACUCAUUCAAAGAGUGCGUAAUAGCUCACUGGUCGAGUGAUCCUGCGCCGAAGAUUUCCGGGGCUAAAACUUACUACCGAAGCUACGGCAUCAGUAAUGAUGGGUAGGGGAGCUUCCCAUACGGGUUGAAGCAUGACCGUAAGGACAUGUGGACAGUAUGGGAGUGAGAAUGUUGGCAUGAGUAGCGAGAUGUGGGUGAGAAUCCCACAGGCCGUAAACCCAAGGUUUCCAGGGGAAGGUUCGUCCGCCCUGGGUUAGUCGGGACCUAAGCUGAGGCCGAAAGGCGUAGGUGAUGGACAACAGGUUGAUAUUCCUGUACUACCGAUAACCGUUUGAGAGAAGGGAUGACACAGUAGGAUAAGCUAAGCACACUGUUGGUUAUGUGUGCCCAAGCAUUGAGGCAGUCAAAGUAGGCAAAUCCGCUUUGAUAAUGCUGGGAUGUGAUGGGGAGCGAAAUUUAGUAGCGAAGUAGCUGAUUUCACACUGUCAAGAAAAGUCUCUAUCGAGGUUAAAGGUACCCGUACCGCAAACCGACACAGGUGGGUGAGGAGAGUAUCCUAAGGCCAGCGAGAGAACUGUUGUUAAGGAACUCGGCAAAAUGACCCCGUAACUUAGGGAUAAGGGGUGCCACCAUCAGGUGGCCGCAGAGAAUAGGCCCAAGCGACUGUUUACCAAAAACAUAGGUUUCUGCUAAGUCGCAAGACGAUGUAUAGGAGCUGACGCCUGCCCGGUGCUGGAAGGUUAAGGGGAUCUGUUAGAGCAAUCGAAGCAGUGAACUUAAGCCCCAGUAAACGGCGGCCGUAACUAUAACGGUCCUAAGGUAGCGAAAUUCCUUGUCGGGUAAGUUCCGACCCGCACGAAAGGCGUAACGAUUUGGGCACUGUCUCAACAACAGACUCGGUGAAAUUGUAAUUCCGGUGAAGAUGCCGGAUACCUGCGACAGGACGGAAAGACCCCAUGGAGCUUUACUGUAGCUUGACAUUGGGUCUUGGUACUACAUGUACAGGAUAGGUGGGAGGCUUUGAAACCAGGACGCCAGUUUUGGCGGAGCCAUCCUUGGGAUACCACCCUUGUAGUACUGGGACUCUAACCAUAGGCCAUGAAUCUGGUCUUGGGACACUGUCAGGUGGGCAGUUUGACUGGGGCGGUCGCCUCCCAAAAGGUAACGGAGGCGCUCAAAGGUUCUCUCAGUACGGUCGGAAAUCGUACGUAGAGUGUAAAGGCAAAAGAGAGCUUGAUUGCAAGACAUACAGGUCGAGCAAGGAUGAAAAUCGGACUUAGUGAUCCGGUGGUUCUGCGUGGAAGGGCCAUCGCUCAACGGAUAAAAGCUACCCUGGGGAUAACAGGCUUAUCUCCCCCAAGAGUCCACAUCGACGGGGAGGUUUGGCACCUCGAUGUCGGCUCAUCACAUCCUGGGGCUGUAGUAGGUCCCAAGGGUUGGGCUGUUCGCCCAUUAAAGUGGUACGCGAGCUGGGUUCAGAACGUCGUGAGACAGUUCGGUCCCUAUCCGUCGCAGGCGUAGGAAAUUUGAGAAGACCUGUCCUUAGUACGAGAGGACCGGGAUGGACGUACCUCUGGUGUACCAGUUGUCCUGCCAAGGGCAUGGCUGGGUAGCUAUGUACGGAAUGGAUAAGCGCUGAAAGCAUCUAAGCGCGAAGCCAACUUCAAGAUAAGAUUUCCCACCGCAAGGGUAAGACCCCAGAAAGACUAUCUGGUUGAUAGGUCGAAGGUGUAAGUGCAGCAAUGUAUUUAGCUUAUCGAUACUAAUAGGUCGAGGACUUGACCA